UUCUGCUGUGAUCUCCUUGGUUCAAAACCCGGCCAAAUAAAUCCAUCAUUUUUCCCCUUUGUUGUCGUUCAGAUCCCACGCUUGGAGAAGUUCAGUCUACACGUGUGUCGUCAAUCUAAAUCAGCAUCGUCAAAGCAGCCGAGUGGCUUAAGGUCUUGAUCUCUUCCCUGAUAUUAUGGCCAGAGAUGUUUCAGUUUGCGUGGGAGCCUUUCCAAAAUCAGCACCAGCAAGCAGUCUAGUUGUUUUGUUUCCUCUCUCUCCAAACGAUACUAUACUCAAUUCCAGGGAUGCAAUUUAACAGUUGCCGCUUCAGUCAGCGAUUUGCUUCUUCACGGAUAGGCCGUCGAGUUGGUACGAGCUACGACAAGUUCUCCGGAUGUUCCUCGGCAAGCUUUAACAGGCAAGCAUUUCCCUUAUACUCCUGCCCCUGCAGAAGUCGCUCACCUAUUUUAUUUUGCCUUCUCCCUCAUGCUAUCCUUAAGUUGCGUUCUUGUCACGUGUCCCUUCCACUUGUUACCUGAAGCAGCCCAUAUUGCCUCCACCAACCACCUAUGGCUAUUGUUUGGUAUCAGGUCUGCCUUGCGAGUUGUAGUGCAUGCUAGUGCUGUUAUAUCUCGUUACCGUUAUCGCUAUCUUAUCGGUUAUCUGUUGGGAAUCAUGACACAUGCUACGUGGUUAUAUCUGUUGAGGGAAUCAUGGUUACUUGUUAAUAAUUGUUAAGCGGAGGCAUCGGUGGGUCAGCUGAUCGUUUUGUGACGGCUCACUUGUGUUUCCUAAAUAUCUUAGGACCCCGAGUUCUUGUUAUCUGUUCCGAGACUGAGCGCUCUAACCACACGUGGGUAUGCUUCUGGGUCUCCCCUCGACCACUGCCGGAAUCUACAGCUUUGUCCAGUGGCCACAACUAGUUCGUAAUGUUUUACCAUUUGUUGUUGCGUGCAUGCCAGCCUGUUACUUAUUUACUUUGGGAAGCCCCUGGGUGCCUUGUAUCCCUUGUUUCUGGUAUGCACGCAUAGGUCGCGGAGCCGCUGCGAAGUGGUUUAUCGCCCCAGUGUGUGUUUAAACCACCUAGUACGCUGUCGCAAACAGCUAGGUCCGCUUCGGAGAUACGGCCGGACUUCGAUACGGGUUCAACUUAGUUAGGUGGCUUCCUGGACAUUGUUGUCGUGAAGGAGAGUGCGAGUCGUGAUAUCCACCUGUCGCAAGUGGGUUGAUCGUGCGUGUGGGCACAUUUGGGCACCCCUGCAGGGUUACAUCUUAUCGAUAAGUCGUGUCCGCGGUUAUGGACGACUUGGAGCUGUAUGACUCGACCAUAGACAACUUACACCUGUUGUUUCAAUACUAAUAACUUGCGUAGUAAGUUAGCACAACUCUAAUAAUAAAUGGUUAAAACUUGUCAAUCGUGUGAGUGCCUUUGUAAGUACUUCCUUGCGAGGGGGGAACGCAUCGGCUGUGUUAUGUUUGCAGAGUAUAGAACUGUUAGUUUAUGCGCUCUCUCACCCUCUCUGAUAGACGACUGUUGUAGAGUGUCUCUAUAGGUUUUUAGUGCUUGCGCGCUGCCGCUUAACCCCACCAUAUUGCCUAUGACGUUCCUCUUGCGUCCUCUAAGUCCCCUGCGUGCCUCAAGUACAAAGGACGACUGGUUGACGAAUGCUUAUACGUCUUGAAGUCUUGUUAAGUACGAACCCGUACUUAUUGCUGCUUCUACGGGAUAUAACCGGGCAGGUAUGAAGAUAUGCUCGAUGAAGAUGACGUUAGCAAGGUUACCCGUCCGGCUUGGCCUGGGCAGGGUUAUGGACGCCACUGGUUAUCUUCAGGACUCUUAGUCCAAAUUUGUAUUUUGUCCGUACUCGGAUGUAUUCGCUCUUCUGUAUGAUUUGGAUCUUUGUAUGUAUAUUUGUAUCUUGACUCGUUGGAGUCGUUGUUGUAAUAUAUAUGUCUCUUGUGGGCUCUAUUGUAAUCCUGUUGUAAUGUUA